CCUACGGGUGGCAGCAGUGAGGAAUAUUGGUCAAUGGGCGCGAGCCUGAACCAGCCAAGUAGCGUGAAGGAUGACUGCCCUACGGGUUGUACACUUCUUUUAUAAAGGAAUAAAGUGAGGCACGUGUGCCUUUUUGUAUGUACUUUCUGAAUAAGGCUCGGCUAACUCCGUGCCAGCCGCCGCGGUAAUACGGAGGAAACGAGCGUUAUCCGGAUUUAUUGGGUUUAAAGGGUGCGUAGGCGGGCCGGAAAGUCAGCGGGAAAAGUCCGGGGCUCAACCCCGGCGAGCCGUUGAAACUGGCGGACUAGAGUCGGCGAGAAGUACGCGGAAUGCGCGGUGUAGCGGUGAAAUGCAUAGAUAUCGCGCAGAACUCCGAUUGCGAAGGCAGCGUACCGGCGCCGGACUGACGCUGAGGCACGAAAGCGUGGGUAUCGAACAGGAUUAGAUACCCUAGUAGUC
rnacentral:rRNA from 1 species